ensembl:lncRNA
GGGGUCAGCAUGGUGGUGGUAGUGUGAUGGUUUGGGGUCCAGCAUGGUGGUGGUAGUGUGAUGGUUUGGGGUCAGCAUGGUGGUGGUAGUGUGAUGGUUUGGGGUCCAGCGUGGUGGUGGUAGUGUGAUGGUUUGGGGUUCAGCAUGGUGGUGGUAGUGUGAUGGUUUGGGGUCAGCAUGGUGGUGGUGGUAGUGUGAUGGUUUGGGGUCCAGCAUGGUGGUGGUAGUGUGAUUGUUUGGGGUCCAGCGUGGUGGUGGUAGUGUGAUGGUAGUGUGAUGUUUUGGAGUCCAGCGUGGUGGUGGUAGGUUGAUGGUUUGGGGUCAGCAUGGUGGUGGUAGUGUGAUGGUUUGGGGUCAGCAUGGUGGUGGUAGUGUGAUGGUGUGGGGUCAGCAUGGUGGUGGUAGUGUGAUGGUUUGGGGUCAGCAUGGUGGUAGUACUGUGUUGGUUUGGGGUCCAGCGUGGUGGUGGUAUGUGAUGGUGGUGUGAUGGUUUGGUGUCCAGCGUGGUGGUAGGUUGAUGGUUUGGGGUCAGCAUGGUGGUGGUAGUGUGAUGGUUUGGGGUCAGCAUGGUGGUGGUAGUGUGAUGGUUUGGGGUCAGCAUGGUGGUGGUAGUGUGAUGGUUUGGGGUCCAGCAUGGUGGUGGUAGUGUGAUGGUUUGGGGUCCAGCAUG